rnacentral:rRNA from 1 species
AGUGAACGCUGGCGGUAGGCCUAACACAUGCGAGUCGAACGGCAGCACAGUAAGAGCUUGCUCUUACGGGUGGCGAGUGGCGGACGGGUGAGGAAUACAUCGGAAUCUACUUUUUCGUGGGGGAUAACGUAGGGAAACUUACGCUAAUACCGCAUACGACCUACGGGUGAAAGCAGGGGAUCUUCGGACCUUGCGCGAUUGAAUGAGCCGAUGUCGGAUUAGCUAGUUGGCGGGGUAAAGGCCCACCAAGGCGACGAUCCGUAGCUGGUCUGAGAGGAUGAUCAGCCACACUGGAACUGAGACACGGUCCAGACUCCUACGGGAGGCAGCAGUGGGGAAUAUUGGACAAUGGGCGCAAGCCUGAUCCAGCCAUACCGCGUUGGUGAAGAAGGCCUUCGGGUUGUAAAGCCCUUUUGUUGGGAAAGAAAAGCAGCAGGUUAAUACCCCGCUGUUCUGACGGUACCCAAAGAAUAAGCACCGGCUAACUUCGUG